rnacentral:misc_RNA from 1 species
UGGAAAGGUUUUAUCUUGAACACAUGUCGUUGCUGAACGAGAGACUAUUGAGAAGAAUGUUUAGUUCGAUGUUGAACAAUGUCUAAUCAGAUCACAACUCUAACAUGAACCACUGUUUAUUCGAUUUAACUUAGAGCUUAUAUCAGGAACACUAUGGCUUUUGCAAUACCACGUUGUAAAAGUCCAGUCGGUUGGAGCACCACAAAUAACGAUUACGGACAAUGUUACAUAGCAGGUAGACGAGGAAAUGGUCUCUACAAGAAAUUCCACUCCAAAAAAGACACAAGUCGACCUUCGACUGCGCAUGCGCGGUUUACUUCAACAAAGGUUGGACCUGCGAGAUUUCAGUCAGCAAAGAGUGCGAGACCAAGAAACCCUACUCCACACGCAAGUCAAGAUUCUAUGCUUACCAAAUUUAGAUCUAUGACAGAACCCGGUACUGACCCGAGUAUCUAUUUCAACGGGCCCCCCUAUCUCGAGAAUUAUAGAGCGCCAGAAAUGAAAACAGCCAGGGAAUAUUUACAAGAUGCAGAUGGAUAUUCUGGAUUCUCAACCCGGAGGAAGUAUAAAUCUCCAGAUUGCAUAUCGUAUCAAAACACUGGAACAGUCGGACGCAAGCACGUUUACCCACCAACUCCACCUACCACCAGAUCAAAGAAAACUCAGGUUGAAUUAAACACCGACAACACUAGACGAUUCGGAGGAAUAACUCCGAAGCCUCCAAACAGAUCUAAAAGGUCCGUGGGGACAAAUACGAUACGAAAUAAGUUCAAGGGUGCGCGGACAAACAGACUAAUGCCUAGACCCCCUGGGCAAUAUAAAAACGUUUACGAUGAAGGAUAUCGAGAUUACACAUAUAGUUACGGCGGUCCUGUCAACAAUGCGGCCGGGUCGAGUAGCUACCUAGGAAAUGUAUUGGCGUCCAAGCUGCGGGCUCGUGAUAGCGAUGGCUACCCCAAGGAUAACUUCGAACAUUAUAUUGGCGUAAAGAAUGCUUAUGAGAACAACACCAGUGACCCGUAUGCAAGCGCAUAUCGAUCGGGGGAUGACUAUAACACUAUGAGAUAUGAAGCAGACUUGCAUCCUAGAACGUCACGUGAUGCACUAGCUGGAACGUAUGGAGCUACUUCACCGGUUUAUGAACCGAGAAUAACUUACGACAGUAAUGACUAUUCGUAUGACACACAUCUCACAUCACGUGAUGCAUUAGCGGGAUCUUACGGGGCUGAACCUUCUCAUCACUACUCAACACGCAUGCGUGGGGACAGUUUUGAUUAUCCAACUAGAUCCCGUAACGGUUUUCUAAAACCGUCUGAACCAUCAGCAGAUAUUAAACGGUUUCAAAGUGCCUUUUCUCCAAAAUUUAAAGCAAAAUAUGGCACAAAAUCUGUAAAUUUUGACAAUAUACGUCGAUCACCAAGACUUCAUACAUAUCCAGCCGGUUAUUCGGGUGAAUAUGAUCGCCCUCUUUCAGCAAGUUAUGUGUACUAGUUGACUGGACUAGAGUUUGCAUUUGUAAACUACGUAGUUUUAAUCUAUUUUAUAGUCUUUCUUUCGUAAUUGUAAUUAAUUGUAAUUGGCAUGAUCACAGAUUACUCGUUUUGGCUCAUUAGUUAUAAUCAUGUUUAUAUUGGAGGGUUUUUCGGGGAUCGUUACUUAUUUGAAAACUAAACGUUCUAAUCGAAUCAUUACUAGUGUAUACAUGGAAAUGACUAAAACAUGAUGCCUAUUUACAAUAUGUACUCAGUCGAUUUAAAGAGGUCGCUACAUGUUCACCGAUAUGGCUAUGUGCAAAUAUACGUUUGCGCCAUCUUUAAAUCGAAUUUGCGAAGAAUGAAUUUAUACUUUUGUUUUAAGUCGCAAAUUAAAUAAAGUUUAACACGAUUUAAUAACGUAUGGGUAAAUCAUCCACAAUGCAUUGAUACUUCUCUUAGAAUGUUCUUAUUAUGUACUAUUCCAUAAUAACAUAUUUUCCUUGGGAAAUAAACUGGGAGUAAAAAUGAUAUUUAAAAAUCCCGUAUCAGAUCCCGUAUCAGCCAAAAUACCGUAUCAGAUCCCCUAGUGGAUCCCAUAUCAGCCGAAAUCUUGUAUCAGAUCCCGUAUC